CGCGUAGGUGGUUUGUUAAGCGAGAUGUGAAAGCCCCGGGCUUAACCUGGGAACGGCAUUUCGAACUGGCAAGCUAGAGUGUGGUAGAGGGUAGUGGAAUUUCCUGUGUAGCGGUGAAAUGCGUAGAUAUAGGAAGGAACACCAGUGGCGAAGACGGCUACCUGGACCAACACUGACACUGAGGUGCGAAAGCGUGGGGAGCAAACA
rnacentral:rRNA from 1 species